UUCUGCAGCCAUGUGAUGCCAGUGUCAGUUUCAUGAUUCACAUUGUGAACCUUUGGAAUGCCGAACCUAAGUGAACAAGCCUCGAUUCUACCCAGCUGUAUGAGAAACACUAUUUGUAAAUAGUCUCUCCCCUGUGGUAGUACUUUGGCUUGAAGACAGUUACUCCGCAAUUUCGACAGCUCGUUCCAUGGUCCACAAAGUGACUAUGGUCACAGUUUGCAAGUGCUUUAGCUUCCCUUUCUCGCUGCUAAUGAACCGGAAGCAGCAUUUAUCACAGUCUCCUUAUUCUCACAUACCUACUUGAAAGAAGGGAAUCAGAAGCAAUGGCUUCAAGAUUUGAAGGCCAAGUUCCCUUCAUGGUACCACUUGAUCACCCAGAUGGAAGAAAUCCUUUGAGAGUCCAUAUGACUGAACCUUUGAAUCCAACACACUCUUCAAUCAUGCAACUGCAAAGAACAUUUGGAAUGGUAGACCAGCGCCCUUCUCGGAAUAAACCGUGAGAAAUGCUACUACAGUUUCAAUGCUCAUUUGAUUUUCAGUGACCCGUGUUCAGAAGAGUCACAUGUGAUAGCAUGUGUUUUGAAAAUCAUUUUCUGAUAUAGAUUCACAAAGGAAAAAUGGUGUUGAUAAAAUCUAUUUUGUUUUUGUUUUUUUAAGUAAUCUCUACACCCACCAUGGGGCUCGAACUCAUGACGCCAAGAUCAAGAGUCUCCGGCUGCACUGACUGAGCCAGCCUGGUGCACCGAUAUUAUCUAUUUUGAAUUUAACUUGAGUACAAUAGAAAAAUUAACAGACAUGCCUCAUGCAACAUCCAAAGGUAUCCGAUGAUGGAACUGAGUCACAGAGGUUUUAACAAGCUCUCCAUAGUCUGACAAUGAGAAACACAAUAGAAGAGUCCAAAGGUAAAUUAAAUAACAUUGAGCAGUUCUCUCAAUUGUCUGCAAAUUGUCUGCAAUUGUCUGCAAAUCUCAAACUGUUCAGGAAAAAAAAAGUCUGUUUAAAUUUUAUUUAAAGAGUCAACUGCAAUCUCACCACCCAGAGCAAACAUGUUAAUGUAUUAGUGCCUGUAUUUAGAAAUGUUUUGU